rnacentral:lncRNA from 1 species
AGAACGUGCCUGACACUACAGGGCUGAUUACAGUGACUGCAGAAGACAGAGUUUUCUGGAGAGGAUUAUGUUAAACAGAGCCUUUCUAUUUACAGUUGAUUUCCUCUAAGAGCUUUAACCGUUCUUCUCCCGGCCUGGUUGCUGCACCCUACAAAGAGAACAGCACAGAAAGACAAGCUUGUGAACUGCUUGAACUGCAGGCAGAAGAAUCUUCCUUGUGCUGUCGGAGGCCAAGAAAGUGUUCACCAGCUGGCCUAAUGCUCUGAACUUUUGCAUGUGAGCUCAGGGCUGGGGGACCUCAGAAGGCCACCAUGCCACCGUGCUGAGGGCCGCAGCAGAAGCACCUGGGUC